rnacentral:tmRNA from 1 species
GGGGCUGAUCGGUUUCGACUGAGGACGUACGUCCCAGGGGAAGCGGGUCGAGAAGCCAGCGUCAUCUCGUAAACGAUCGCUGGAAACCAAUAACUGCCGACAACAAGCGCAGUGACUUCGCUCUCGCCGCCUGAGCGGUGAUCGAAGCGUCAGACCGGGUGCCCGUCUCCGACCCGGAUCCUGGCGUCAUCUAGGAGACUUGCUGCUCACCUUCUGUCAGGAGAGGUGAGCGGGACUCUUUCCUGACUGGGCCUGUCGACGACGUGUUCGUGCGAGCGUCGGGGCCGAGAAAACGACACCACGAACUGCACCCGGAGAAGACCUGGCACUGCGCCGCAGGACGCGGGUUCGAUUCCCGCCAGCUCCACAG